CGUCGCUGAGCAGCACAAAAAGCACAUUUACAUUGAAAAUAUGAAAAAUGUAUUUCUAAAGCAAAAACAUAGAAGAUUUCAAUCAUUCAUCUAAAAUGACAAUAAAAAUGCAGUUAACAUCCACAAGUAAAAUUACAAUUGCCAAUGCUGGGAAACAAGAAAAAAAGGCUCUAGAUUGUGGUGCAGUGACUGACAUCAGCCGCUGGAGGGCGCUGUUGAAAUGUGAGUAGCAGAGAUCCCAACGGGACUUGUGUCCAUGAUUUUGUCGCUAACCUGCCGACGACGACACUUGCACCGUGGAUGACGUGGAUGACGAUGUCAUUGUUGCCUUUUGUCAGAUGACGCUGUGAGCUUUUACGCUUCGGAGAGCAACCUGGCUUUUUUGCUCCUCAUUCUGUUUGACAAAUAUUUGAGCAACAGAGGCUAAAGUGCACAAGGGGCGGGGCUUC